AAUAUUGGACAAUGGGCGCAAGCCUGAUCCAGCCAUGCCGCGUGAGUGAUGAAGGCCCUAGGGUUGUAAAGCUCUUUCAACGGUGAAGAUAAUGACGGUAACCGUAGAAGAAGCCCCGGCUAACUUCGUGCCAGCAGCCGCGGUAAUACGAAGGGGGCUAGCGUUGUUCGGAAUUACUGGGCGUAAAGCGCACGUAGGCGGGUCGGUCAGUUAGGGGUGAAAUCCCAGGGCUCAACCCUGGAACUGCCUUUAAUACUGCUGGUCUAGAGUUCGAGAGAGGUGAGUGGAAUUCCGAGUGUAGAGGUGAGAUUCGUAGAUAUUCGGAGGAACACCGAUGGCGAAGGCGACAUACUGGCUCAUUACUGACGCUGAGGCGCGAAAGCGUGGGGAGCAAACAG
rnacentral:rRNA from 1 species